GACAGUUCGGUCCCUAUCCGUCGCAGGCGUAGGAAAUUUGAGAAGACCUGUCCUUAGUACGAGAGGACCGGGAUGGACGUACCUCUGGUGUACCAGUUGUUCUGCCAAGGGCAUGGCUGGGUAGCUGUGUACGGAAUGGAUAAGCGCUGAAAGCAUCUAAGCGCGAAGCCAACUUCAAGAUAAGAUUUCCCACCGCAAGGGUAAGACCCCAGAAAGACUAUCUGGUUGAUAGGUCGAAGGUGUAAGUGCAGCAA
rnacentral:rRNA from 1 species